rnacentral:rRNA from 1 species
CCUACGGGAGGCAGCAGUGGGGAAUUUUGGACAAUGGGCGCAAGCCUGAUCCAGCAAUGCCGCGUGCAGGAUGAAGGCCUUCGGGUUGUAAACUGCUUUUGUACGGAGCGAAACGGUCUGCCCUAAUACGGUGGGCUAAUGACGGUACCGUAAGAAUAAGCACCGGCUAACUACGUGCCAGCAGCCGCGGUAAUACGUAGGGUGCGAGCGUUAAUCGGAAUUACUGGGCGUAAAGCGUGCGCAGGCGGUGAUGUAAGACAGAUGUGAAAUCCCCGGGCUCAACCUGGGACCUGCAUUUGUGACUGCAUCGCUAGAGUACGGUAGAGGGGGAUGGAAUUCCGCGUGUAGCAGUGAAAUGCGUAGAUAUGCGGAGGAACACCGAUGGCGAAGGCAAUCCCCUGGACCUGUACUGACGCUCAUGCACGAAAGCGUGGGGAGCAAACAGGAUUAGAUACCCUGGUAGUCCACGCCCUAAACGAUGUCAACUGGUUGUUGGGUCUUCACUGACUCAGUAACGAAGCUAACGCGUGAAGUUGACCGCCGUGGGGAGUCGGCCCGNAAGGUUGAAACUCGAAAUGAAUUGACGG